rnacentral:rRNA from 1 species
UGCGUAGGCGGCGCGGUAAGUUGGGUGUGAAAUACCUCGGCUCAACCGAGGAAUUGCGCUCAAGACUGCCGUGCUCGAGGGAGACAGAGGUAAGCGGAACUUAGGGUGGAGCGGUGAAAUGCGUUGAUAUCCUAAGGAACACCGGUGGCGAAAGCGGCUUACUGGGUCUCUUCUGACGCUGAGGCACGAAAGCUAGGGGAGCGAACGG